rnacentral:rRNA from 1 species
AGAAUCAACGCUGGCGGCGUGCCUAACACAUGCAAGUCGCACGAGAAAGUGGAGCAAUCCAUGAGUAAAGUGGCGCACGGGUGAGUAACACGUGACUAACCUACCCUUGAGUGGGGGAUAAACCUAGAGAAAUCUGGGCUAAUACCGCAUAAUACCUUCGGGUCAAAGGAGCAAUUCGCUUAAGGAGGGGUCGCGGCCGAUUAGUUAGUUGGCGGGUAAUGGCCCACCAAGACGAUGAUCGGUA